UGCGACCUCUCGGAGGAAGAGAGCACUACAAUUUAGCACUUACACCCAGGGUACAAGUGGCAGAGCUCAGCCAUGACAGGGCUCACUCCGCUCUGCAACUGGAAUUCAAGGGGACAGGAGGCAACCAGCCUCCUGCGGUCAGCACCCACCACCUGUGCAAAGAGCCCUCCAACACCCCACUUCUGCCCUCAUUUCCCCAGGAGGAACUCAUAACACCGUACGAAGCACAGAAAUCAGCAGUAACUUUUUCUGCUCAAGAAAGGACAACUUCUGCUAUGCCAGCUAGUACAUGACACCCGUAUAUUCCAUCACAGGCCAGCUGGAUCAAUGAAAGGAUUUGAAACAGUUUGGACAGCCAUCCUGAAAACGCCCUCAGUUUAAGCGGUCCAUCACAGCUUUCCCGUUAGCAAUCCCAAGAAAUACAGAGAACACACAGAUCCCUCUCUGUUGUGUCCAAAUAUGCUACACAGACAAGCAAGCUGUAAGACAUACAGUGGCAGCACAAGAGUAAAGAGGUCCAAGAUCUGCACUGUGACAAGAGGAGAUGGACAUGUCAGAACAAAAAGAAAUGUACAAAGAAGUAAAAGAAUAAGCAGGAAAGGAAACAACAACCUUGACAUUCUUUCUCUUGUGAAGAUUUUUCUAAAUUACUGUUUAAAAAACAACCUCCUGCAUGUUGUAUAUAACUGGAAAGAGUUGUCAUCCCAAAUGAACUCAAAUGGAUGCCCAAACAAGUCUUCUCUGACAUACUGUUAGACACUACGCGAAACCUCCAUGAGAAGCAACCUAGUCUUUAGUAACAGUCUCCUUUUUGAAAAGUGAAGCCUUCUCUCAGCACUACAAGACUAAUGUAAACUGCCUCGGUCUGAAGGAUCGUAAGUGUGAGAACACAGAAGUAAUGAAAACUACAUACAUAUUUCCUCAAAUUUCUCCUUUCACAAAGGACAAAUAUUCUCAUUAACAAGAGAUCAGACUAUCAGUGUAGCCUGGAACAGUUAAUUGAUUUAUUUUUAUCGCAGCUCAACUCAGAGACAUUCCGUGCUGCAUCUAUACAGGUGACCAGAACAGGGCAAAUGUGGCUUUUGUUUCCAGAUCUGUACUCCGACUGGAAGAAUGUACAAGCUCUGUAAGCAGAUCUACAAAUAAAAUGUUCAGCCAAUUCCUCUUCAAGUAACCCUUUUGGACCGUCCCCCUUCCUUUCAAAGGAGAUUCAACUUAUACAAUUUAUCAGGUAACAUCCAUGAGCAUCCAGCAUCUACUUUGGCCAUUCUGCUCACAGCCUACAUUCAUUCUUUAAAGAAAAUUAGAGGACAUAGUAAAGAGUGAUAUAAAAACACAUUUGGGGUCAAGAAAGUUAAUAUCGAUGUCAUUUGCAUCAAGCCAAGAUGACAUCAAACUGCUAUUCUAGUAACUAGGGUCAUUGGUUGAUUUUUUUUUUAAUUUUCUUAAUGAGGUCGUUAUUUAAUGAAUAGUGUGAUCUUCCAUCUGACAAAUUUAACUUGCAAAUUUCUAAAAUUGUGUCGCAUGCAACACAUGCAUGCUAGUAAAUGAAAACUCCACUGCAUGCAGCGUUUGUGUUUGCAGCCAGCAGAUUGACCACAAGCACCAUCUGCCCAACAGGUAAUAACAAGCCGCAUCUGAUAAGGUGGUUGAUCAGCAGCAUUAAGGGAAGCGUGACGUGAAAGACAACGGGUGAAGAAUAAAAAACAAACAACGCUGCCAAAAAACAGUAAAAUGCAUUUUCUAGCUCAGCUUUCACCAGAACUAUACAUGGUGGAAAUGCUUAAUUAUUAAGCCGUCCUUCAGAGAGAACAGAGAAAAUUUCCUGCCGAAUGCUCAUUAGUUCUUGUUGACUACAAAACCUACCAGCGUUCUCCCCAGCCUGACUGAUUCUGUGAUCCAAAAAGGUGAGCCAUGAACUGCACUUCGCUAUUUCAUGGGCUUUAAAACAACCUUAAGCCUACGGGAACAACUCCUCCUACACUGAUUCCAGUAUAUACUGUCCGACAGCCGACAAUUGUCUCCCAUCUCCUCUCUCCACCUUCACGGAGCCAGCUCUCGGACAGAGGAGGCGGCGGGGGUGAAAGGGGCUGUCACGCACGCGGGCCACACCGCACAGGAGCGUUUCCUACCCGCGCUGCGAGGCGCUGGACUGCGAGGACUCCGCCGGCUGAUCCGCAAGCUCUGUCUCUCGGGCUGCAUCUUCGUUUUCUAACGACAAACAGAACACGCGGGAAGGUGAUUUCACGACAUGUGAGGGAGUUGCUGGGGAUCGAAGAGCCUGUCUUCAGCAGAUCCAUUGCCCUCCCAUACAGAGACAACAUGGGCCUCUUCCUGGAGCAAAAGUCCCGAUCAGGAGAGGAAGCAGAUGCCCUCACUUUCUCCCAGUUUGUCCAAGAAGCAGGCCUGGAGCCCUACUGCACAGUUCCUCCUUUGCAACAAGCCCAGACUGGGUUAGAGGCAGAUGCUGUCCCUUUAUCGCAGGACACCCAGAGGCAGGAUUAGAGAGUCACACAGCAGUUCCACCUUUGUAAGAAGCCCAGCUGGGACAGCAGUAUAUACCUUUAUUACCUUGCAGUAGGGAGGUACAGUUCCACAUUCUCCCCAUAAAGCAAAAGGCCAGUGUAGCUCUUAGCUGUUUGAUUACAACAAACGCAUCCCUACAUCGCCUCUUUUCCACAAGGAUUUUCUGCAGCCCUUCAUUUGCUUCCAGGAACUAAGAGAAGCAGAACCCAUAAAUCAGGCAUGACUUUACCACUGUCUUUCAUUUCUGUUUUAUAGUUGAUUAAAUAAAACACAAAAAACUCAA